rnacentral:rRNA from 1 species
CAGUUCGGAUUGAAGGCUGAAAUUCGCCUUCAUGAAGCCGGAAUUGCUAGUAAUGGCAGGUCAGCAUACUGCCGUGAAUACGUUCCCGGGCCUUGUACACACCGCCCGUCACACCAUGGGAGUCGGAUAUGCCCGAAGCCGGUGACCUAACCGCAAGGAAGGAGCCGUCGAAGGUGGAGCCGAUGACUGGGGUGAAGUCGUAACAAGGUAGC